GAUGAACGCUGGCGGCGUGCCUAAUACAUGCAAGUCGAGCGAACGGACGAGAAGCUUGCUUCUCUGAUGUUAGCGGCGGACGGGUGAGUAACACGUGGAUAACCUACCUAUAAGACUGGGAUAACUUCGGGAAACCGUAGCUAAUACCGGAUAAUAUUUUGAACCGCAUGGUUCAAAAGUGAAAGACGGUCUUGCUGUCACUUAUAGAUGGAUCCGCGCUGCAUUAGCUAGUUAGUAAGGUAACGGCUUACCAAGGCAACGAUGCAUAGCCGACCUGAGAGGGUGAUCGGCCACACUGGAACUGAGACACGGUCCAGACUCCUACGGGAGGCAGCAGUAGGGAAUCUUCCGCAAUGGGCGAAAGCCUGACGGAGCAACGCCGCGUGAGUGAUGAAGGUCUUCGGAUCGUAAAACUCUGUUAUUAGGGAAGAACAUAUGUGUAAGUAACUGUGCACAUCUUGACGGUACCUAAUCAGAAAGCCACGGCUAACUACGUG
rnacentral:rRNA from 1 species